GUGACUAGUGCAAUGGCUUGUGAGCAUAUGGUAAGAGGCGGUGACCUCAUGAUCCUCAUCUAUUGCAGUGAUUGCCUCCACAUCUCUUUAAAAUUGUUGAUUGAUUUGUAUCUACGGAGAGCCUCUUUUUCUUAUCAGCCUUUCUUUUAUUAUCUUUCCGUAUGUCCUUACAAAGAUGGAAACAAAAAAAUCAGCAAAAAGUUUCUUUUGUAAAAACCAGGAUAUCUUAACCCCCUAAAAU
rnacentral:lncRNA from 1 species